rnacentral:rRNA from 1 species
AUUGAACGCUAGCGGGAUGCCUUACACAUGCAAGUCGAACGGAGUGGCGAACGGGUGAGUAAUGUAUCGGAACGUGCCCAGUAGCGGGGGAUAACUACGCGAAAGCGUAGCUAAUACCGCAUACUAUUGGAGCGGCCGAUCUCGGAGUUGCUAGUUGGGGUGGUAACGGCUCACCAAGGCGACGAUCCGUAGCUGGGUUGAGAGGACGACCAGCCACACUGGGACUGAGAACCGGCCCAGACUCUUACGUGAGGCAGCAGGGGGGAAUUUUGGACAAUGGGGGAAACCCUGAUCCAGCCAUCCCGCGUGAGCGAUGAAGGCCUUCGGGUUGUAAAGCACUUUUGUCAGGAAAGCGGUACCUGCAGAAUAAGCACCGGCUAACUACGUGCCAGCAGCCGCGGUAAUAC